AGCUGAGAGCUAUUUAGUACUGACAGAUUUGAGAAUAUUUAGUAGUAAUUUUGUGAAAUUUAAGAACUGAAGAGGAUUUUUAUAAGAUGGCGGAUCCCCUAGCUGGUGUGGACGAUCAUAUCCAGGAGAAUCUUUGCCAUGAUGUGAUCAAGGAAGCUCUGGAGUCAGGCCGCGACCUCAGAGAAUACUCUCGAAGUGUUGAACAGCAACUUAAGGGCAGCGAGGAUGAGGCGAUUAGAGAUUAUAUGCACAAUUGUCGAGACAUUGCAGCACUUCACGGAGAGAUUGCUUCAUGUGACGCCAUCUUGCAACGCAUGGAAAGCAUCUUACGUGGGUUUCAGAACGAUCUUGGCUCUAUAUCAUCAGAAAUUCAGAGCCUUCAACGUCAAUCUGUCGCGAUGAACCUCCAGCUAAAGAAUCGACAGGCGGUACGGGGAGAACUUAGUCAGUUCGUGGACGAUUUUAUCGUACCUGAGGCAACGAUAAACGUCAUUCUCGAUUGCCCCGUUAUAGAUGAGGAUUUCCUUACCCAGCUUGCCUUACUCGACCAGAAGAUUUCAUUCGUAAAGGUGCAGAGCUUCAAGGAGGCUUCGUCUUGUCAGGAUGUAAAAGAUAUCCUCGAUAAGCUCAAAGUUCAUGCCGUGACAAAGAUCCGGGAAUGGCUGUUACAAAAAGUGUUUUCGUUUCGUAAGGCGAAUGCUAACUUCCAGUUGGCGCAAAACACCAUGUUAAAGCACAGGCUCUUUUUCCAGUUCUUGGCAACUCAUGAGCGGGAAGUUGCGAAAGAAAUACGUGAAGAGUACGUUGACACCAUUAGUAAGGUGUAUUUAUCGUAUUUCAAGGCAUAUCAAACUCGGUUAAUGAAAUUACAGUUCGAAGAUGUGCCAGAUAAAGAUGAUCUGAUGGGCGUCGAUGACACUCCAAAAUGGGGUUUAUUCAAUAAGCCCUCACUUAAGAACCGAUCGACGAUCUUCACGCUCGGUAGUCGCAACGCCGUCCUGGGGGCAGAUUUAGAAGCACCUGUAAUUGUACCGCAUGCUUCAGCAAAGAGUGAAAAACAUUAUCCAUUUGAGCAGCUUUUUCGGUCAACGCAGUAUGCUUUAUGUGAUAACGCUGCGCGAGAAUAUCUGUUUGUUUCGGAAUUCUUUUUGCUAACAAAGCAGGGAGCCGUCGAUAUGUUCGACAAUAUCCUUGAAAAAAGCAUGUCAUUAUUUGCAAAGCAUACAGAAAGCUUCGUGGCGGAGUGUUUCGACUCGAUUGCCCUUUUUCUUUGCAUUCAUAUCAUCCGUAAACUUAAAGUUGUCAUGCAUUCUCGAAACGUUCCUGUUAUGGAUCGUUAUUGGGAUUUACUGGUAAAAAUAAUUUUUCCCCGAUUUGAAACAAUUUUACGAAUGAAUAUAGCAUCGAUUCGAGACUGCGAUCCUUCAAAGUUAGGCAGCAUAGACAAUAGGCCACAUUAUAUUACGCGACGCUAUGCCGAGUUCUCCGCUGCGAUUGUCUCAAUAAAUGAAAACCAUCCAGACGAGCGAGUUACUCAGCUUCUUGGCCAGCUUCAAAUCGAGGUAGAGAAUUUUGUCUUGCGUAUGGCAGCUGAGUUCAACGGCAGAAAAGAUCAACUAAUUUUUCUCAUCAACAAUUAUGAUAUGAUGCUUGGCGUACUUCAACAAAGAACGCACGAAGAUUCAAAAGAGACAACAAACUUUAGGACACUACUAACGGCACGUCAAAGCGAAUACGUCGAGCAGAUAUUGACCGUACAUUUUGGAGGAAUGAUGACAUUCAUUAAAGAAUCCGAGUACUACGUUGAAAAGGGUAUGUUGUUAAACACCUUCACCUGCAAAUUUAACGUGAAGAAACCAUUAACAUUAUAUAUUAUUACGUUCGUAAAGUUCUUAUUUAUUAAUUAUUAUAGAUUGCAGCGUAUAAAGUGACUUGCAAGAUUCAUGAAGAACCUUUUAUUUGACUUUUAGUGAGUCGUUUAACUGUCUCGCUGGACUGAAGUCAAAAUUUUAAAAGGCAUAGAGACUAUUUAACUCUUAAGCUUAGAUAAUUCUGUACUCUUGUUAUAUAUAUAUAUAUAUACAAUCCUGCAGGAAGUGCUUGAAUGUCUGUCUCGCUUUUUCUCUAUUCUGCUUUUAUACAAACGCAACCUCUUUUGGAGUUAGAUGCAUUGCUCUCGUUCGUCAGAGAAUAUCGUAAGGCCUUUUUUAAAUUGAUUUGCCUCUAGUUGUUGAAGCAAAUGGAUACUGCCUUUGACAAAGUUUUGUGCACUGGUGGGGAUGUUAUACUUUCGGAUAGGGAGAACUGUAAACAUUGGCAUUUGCAAACCUCGUUUAGAAUCUCAUUGAUGUAAUCAGUAUCUCUUGCGUUUAAUUUGGAGCGUUUAUAGGAGUUAGUGGUCAGCUAAAGUAACCCGGAUGAGCUUUACCAUGACACGGGUCUUACAAUUAUUUAUAUUCACUGAGGCAUCGAAGAGAUAAUUUGAUUAAAUAAUAAUAAUAAUAGUGAUAAAUAAUAAUUAAAUUUUAACUGCAAUCGUUUUAUCCGUCGUAUUGUUUAUGAAUUUUAUAUAUGAACAUUUUAGAUAAUAACGCCUUUGUUAUACAUUUUCCAAGUGGAAACCUUGUCAAUUGCUAGCUUUUGCUAUAAUCAUCUUUAUCAUCAUGUGUAUUAUUUGCCAUUAUUUCUGUUCAUUACUUCUGUUAAAUUGAAACAUAAGUGAUAGUUCCUUUUUCAUUAUUUUCCGUUUCUAUUUACGUGUCUAUUAUAUAUAUAUAACUAAUAUACGAUACGCAAAUGUUCUUUUCCCCUCUUCUUUCUAUAAGCCCGUUGUAAUUUUAUAGUGGACAGCAUAUUAUGGCGGAUUCAGAUUUCAAAAAGGGAGGCUUUUUUCGACACGUACCCUACUUUUUUCGUCAAAGGUCAAAUCAAUGAACUCGAGAAGGAAUCACAUAAAGUAGCUACGCUCGUACGGAAUUUCAACUCUGGUUGGAAGAAGGCUAUAGAC